rnacentral:tRNA from 1 species
GCUCUGAUGGCGCAGUGGUUAAGCGCUUGGCUGUUAACCGAAAGGUCGGUGGUUCUAAUCCACCAGCU